GAUGAACGCUGGCGGCGUGCUUAACACAUGCAAGACGAACGGUGAAGCAGGAGCUUGCUCUUGUGGAUCAGUGGCGAACGGGUGAGUAACACGUGAGCAACCUGCCCCUGACUCUGGGAUAAGCGCUGGAAACGGCGUCUAAUACUGGAUAUGUGAUGUGACCGCAUGGUCUGCAUCUGGAAAGAAUUUCGGUUGGGGAUGGGCUCGCGGCCUAUCGGCUUGUUGGUGAGGUAAUGGCUCACCAAGGCGUCGACGGGUAGCCGGCCUGAGAGGGGGACCGGCCACACUGGGACUGAGAAACGGCCCAGACUCCUACGGGAGGCAGAAGUGGGGAAUAUUGCACAGUGGGCGGAAGCCUGAUGCAGCAACGCCGCGUGAGGGAUGACGGCCUUCGGGUUGUAAACCUCUUUUAGCAGGGAAGAAGCGAAAGUGACGGUACCUGCAGAAAAAGCACCGGCUAACUACGUGCCAGCCGCCGCCGUAA
rnacentral:rRNA from 1 species